rnacentral:rRNA from 1 species
UGGGGAAUAUUGCGCAAUGGGGGGAACCCUGACGCAGCAACGCCGCGUGAAGGAAGAAGGUCUUCGGAUUGUAAACUUCUUUGAUGAGGGACGAAGAAUGACGGUACCUCAAAAACAAGUCACGGCUAACUACGUGCCAGCAGCCGCGGUAAUACGUAGGUGGCGAGCGUUGUCCGGAAUUACUGGGUGUAAAGGGCGAGUAGGCGGAUGAACAAGUCCGCAGUGAAAUCCCACGGCUUAACUGUGGGGGUGCUGUGGAAACUGUACAUCUUGAGUGAUGGAGAGGCAGAUGGAAUUCCCGGUGUAGCGGUGAAAUGCGUAGAGAUCGGGAGGAACACCAGUGGCGAAGGCGGUCUGCUGGACAUUAACUGACGCUGAGGAGCGAAAGCGUGGGUAGCAAACAGG